rnacentral:lncRNA from 1 species
AGCCCAAGAGAGACCUUGUUCUGGGGAUCAGUUGACCUUAAAGGCUUCUCAAGAAGCCGGUGGACCAAAAGAUCAGGGUGCCAAAAGAUUUCCACCUUGGAGGAAUCGCCCAAUUUUUUGAAGCUCACAUUCCUGGUUGCUUCUCAAAUCUCACCAAAUAUUUGGAGAGUAGAAAUCCAGUGCUUUUCCUUGUGUUCCUGUUUGGAAGAUUAUUUCUCCCCCAUCCCCAAGCCAGUUAUGGUAAAAGAAUGUGAAAGUUUAGCUGAUCAUGAAAAGCUCAGAGAUGCACGGGAACAAGGGGGAGCGGCACCCCAGGGCUACUACUUAAAAUGUCAGGUGUGGAAAGUAAUGAGUCUUUGCUUAGUAGGAACCCAGCAGAAGGAGUCGUCAUGGUCCACUUGUCAGGUUAUUUUUUAAGAAAAACAUCAAUGAAUAAAUUUUCUUAGUCAGCUAAAGAAUGGAUUUGUUGAGUGCCUCAAACUUACAAGAACGUAAGCAUCUCUUGAGUCUUACGCAUGGCAAAAGAAGGACUGUGGGUAUGGUUAGCGUGUGGGGCCCGAGUCUCCAGGGAUGCUAGAGGACAAAGUCACUGCAAUCUUCCCAAGACCUAUAACAUCACACUGUGACCUGAGGCAAGGAUGCUAGAAGACCCCAUAGCCAGUUCUUCAUUUUGCAGUGGACUUGAAUGAAAUGAUGAUAAUUAUUGAUCCAGCAAACUAUAACGGCUUCCCCUUAGUCUCUGGGGACUGUUGUGCAAAUGUGUACUUAGGGACUCUUAAAUACUGCUUAUUAAUGGUUUGACAGGCCAUAACUGCUUUGAAGGAGCCAUUAAAGACCAUGGUAUAAAUCCUUUUGGGUUUUCUCUUAUUUAACUCAACCUGUCAGAGACUGCCACAUGCCUGUAUUGGAACAGGCUGCUGAAAGUAGUAAGUGAUGCUCUUAACUUCUGAACAAUACAUUCAUGGUAUCCAAAGCAAACUGGCAAUUUCUUCUGAAAUUCAUUGAUUCUUCUACUUUUUUUUCCUUUAAUGUAUUGAAUCCAUUCUCCUGAACAUUUUAAAAUAGCAUGUAUAACUCAUUAGCUACUUUAAUUAUCU